UGAGAAAAUGAGGAAAGUGGAAAUUUCAUGAAAAAAUAAGGAAAGUGUUUGGGUUUUUUUUCUGCAGCAGUCUUCUGUGCUGCAGAAGCACAUUUCAGGCUCUAAUCCAGCCACGCUUCAGGAGCUGGUGCCAGUCCUGCCUCCUGCUGCGCCUUGGUUUGGAUGUGUGUCUCCGGCCAGGACCAGCAGCAUCCUGGAGGGUUCUUCCCUGCAGGAAGAGGAUGGAAGGAUCCAGCCAUAAAGAAUGAUUUCCAGAACUUUUCCCAGGGUGUAGCAGUUCCCACAGCGUAAAAAGGGAGAUUUUCCCAGCGCAUACCUGCAGAGCCAGUGGGGAUCACCAGCAGCAAAUUUUCAAGUGAAAAUCCUAUUUAUAACUUUGGAACCAAAGCUGGAAGAUCAUUUCUGCAAAAUGAGUAAUGAUAAAUGCUGAUUACUUAUCAAUGGUGAGUACAGAAUUGGUCCAUUACUGGUCACUUCUUUCUUGACUUCUCAUAUUCCCCUUUUCAUCCAAAAUUUAUAUCUUUGUUUUAGCUACACUAAGCUGAAUCAAUGUGGAAAAGAAUGAAAAUUUACUCAAUAGAAGAUAUUUUCUACAGUCUUUCAUAUCAGGAAAUGCUUCUAAUUACUAGAAGAGGUUACUCUUAAUGUAGUAAGUAUAUUGAGCUCUAGACAGUCUUACAACACUUCAUCUGAGGCAGCACAUUCA
rnacentral:lncRNA from 1 species